AGAUUGAACGCUGGCGGCAGGCCUAACACAUGCAAGUCGAGCGGCAGCACGGGUACUUGUACCUGGUGGCGAGCGGCGGACGGGUGAGUAAUGCCUAGGAAUCUGCCUGAUAGUGGGGGAUAACGUUCGGAAACGGGCGCUAAUACCGCAUACGUCCUACGGGAGAAAGUGGGGGAUCUUCGGACCUCACGCUAUCAGAUGAGCCUAGGUCGGAUUAGCUAGUUGGUAGGUAAAGGCCUACCAAGGCUACGAUCCGUAACUGGUCUGAGAGGAUGAUCAGUCACACUGGAACUGAGAC
rnacentral:rRNA from 1 species